UCCAUCAGCAGGUGCUCUGUGAUGGUGACAUCACCGUGCUGAGGCUCUGGUCUUUUUAAGCCAGUUUGUCCCCCGUCGAGUUCCCAGGAGCUGCCACCAGCGUCUUGGUCUUGGUUCUCCAGCAUAAGGUGGCGCCUGUCAGAUCAUUAUUCUUGGGAAGGCCAGCUGUCAGGGAUAGUCACGAACAGCCCGAUGGAGAGGCCUGUGUGGGAAGAGCUGAGCCUCCAGCCAACAGCCACAAGAAGCUGAAGCCUUCUGCCAAAGGCCACGUGGGUGAGCUUGAACGUGGAUCCUCCAGCCCUGUCAAGCCUUCAGCAGACUGAAGCCCGGGUGAACAUCUUGACUUGACUUCAUGAGAGAUCCUAUCAGAAACACCGGACUAAACUGCGCCUCAAUUUCUGACCUUCAGAAAUGGAGAUAAAAAAUGCUGCUUUAAACCACUAAAUGUUGGAGGAGGGAAUUUGUUAUGCAGCAAUAGAUAACUAAUACACCCUU